GAUGAACGCUGGCGGCGUGCCUAACACAUGCAAGUCGAACGGAGAUUUGACGCUGCAGAGACUUCGGUCAAAGCUUGUUAAAUCUUAGUGGCGGACGGGUGAGUAACGCGUGGGCAACCUGCCUCGUACUGGGGGAUAACAGUUGGAAACGACUGUUAAUACCGCAUAAGCGCACGGUACCGCAUGGUACAGUGUGAAAAACUCCGGUGGUACGAGAUGGGCCCGCGUCAGAUUAGCCAGUUGGUGGGGUAACGGCCUACCAAAGCAACGAUCUGUAGCCGGACUGAGAGGUCGGACGGCCACAUUGGGACUGAGACACGGCCCAAACUCCUACGGGAGGCAGCAGUGGGGGAUAUUGCACAAUGGGCGAAAGCCUGAUGCAGCGACGCCGCGUGAGUGAAGAAGUAUUUCGGUAUGUAAAGCUCUAUCAGCAGGGAAGAAAGACUCGUAAGAGAGAUGACGUAC
rnacentral:rRNA from 1 species